GAUGAACGCUGGCGGCGUGCCUAAUACAUGCAAGUCGAGCGAACAGAUGAGGAGCUUGCUCCUCUGACGUUAGCGGCGGACGGGUGAGUAACACGUGGAUAACCUACCUAUAAGACUGGGAUAACUUCGGGAAACCGGAGCUAAUACCGGAUAAUAUAUUGAACCGCAUGGUUCAAUAGUGAAAGACGGUUUUGCUGUCGCUUAUAGAUGGAUCCGCGCCGCAUUAGCUAGUUGGUAAGGUAACGGCUUACCAAGGCAAGGAUGCGUAGCCGACCCGAGCGGGUGGAUGGCCACAUUGGAACUGAGACACGGCCCAGACUCCGACAGUGGGCCACAGUCGGGACUCCUCCGCAAUGGAGCAGUGCCUGACAGUGCAACGUCGCGUGAGUGAUGAAGGUCUUCUGAUCGUAAAGCUCUGUUAUUAGUAAAGAACAAAUGUGUAAGUAACUAUGAACGUCUUGACGGUACCUAAUCAGAAAGCCACGGCUAACUACGUG
rnacentral:rRNA from 1 species